rnacentral:tRNA from 1 species
AUUAUUUUGGCAGAAAAAUGCAUUAAAUUUAGAAUUUAAAUAUAUGAUUUAUUAUCAUAAAUAAUA